rnacentral:tRNA from 1 species
GGUCGUUUAGUUUAUAAAAAAUGUAGAUUUUGUAAUUCUAUGAUGAUAAUAAUAUAUUGUUAAUGACCU